UACGUAGGCAGCAAGCGUUGUUCGGAAUUCCUGGGCGUAAAGCGUGUGUAGGCGGUGCUCUAAGUUUGGAGUGACAGUUGGUGGCUUAACUGCCAAAGUGCUUCGAAAACUGACAGACUUGAGGGCUUCAGAGGGACACGGAAUUCCGGGUGGAGUGGUGAAAUGCGUAGAGAUCCGGAGGAACACCAAAGGCGAAGGCAGUGUCCUGGGGAGUACCUGACGCUCAGGUGCGAAAGCCAGGGGAGCGAACGGG
rnacentral:rRNA from 1 species